rnacentral:rRNA from 1 species
UACGUAGGGUGCAAGCGUUGUCCGGAAUUAUUGGGCGUAAAGAGCUCGUAGGCGGUUUGUUGCGUCGGCUGUGAAAGUCCCGAGGCUCAACCUCGGGUCUGCAGUCGAUACGAGCAAACUAGAGUGUUGCAGGGGAGACUGGAAUUCCGUGGUGAUAGCGGUGAAAUGCGCAGAUAUCAGGAGGAACACCGGUGGCGAAGGCGGGUCUCUGGGCAACAACUGACGCUGGAGGAGCGAAAGCCGUGGGGAGCAACAGG